rnacentral:piRNA from 1 species
UGGAACAUUGAUAGCCAUUAAAACACAAAUAG